GCCCGGGUGGCGGAACGGCAGACGCUGGGGACUUAAAAUCCUCUGGGGAUUUUACCCCGUGUGGGUUCAACUCCCACCCCGGGCACCA
rnacentral:tRNA from 1 species